UAGGGAAUAUUGGACAAUGGCUGAAAAGCUGAUCCAGCCAUCCCGCGUGAAGGCAGAAGGUCCUAUGGAUUGUAAACUUCUUUUCUCUGGGAAGAAAAGGCGGGUUUCUACCUGCUCUGACGGUACCAGAGGAAUAAGCACCGGCUAACUCCGUGCCAGCAGCCGCGGUAAUACGGAGGGUGCAAGCGUUAUCCGGAUUCACUGGGUUUAAAGGGUGCGUAGGCGGGCUUGUAAGUCAGUGGUGAAAGCCCGGGGCUCAACUCCGGAACUGCCGUUGAUACUGCAAGCCUUGAGUACAGUUGAGGUGGGCGGAAUACAUCAUGUAGAGGUGAAAUUCUUAGAUAUGAUGUAGAACACCGAUUGCGAAGGCAGCUCACUAAAGUGUAACUGACGCUGAGGCACGAAAGCGUGGGGAUCAAACAGGAUUAGAUACCCCGGUAGUCC
rnacentral:rRNA from 1 species